UUCCGGCUGAGGAUGGGCCCGCGGCCGAUUAGCUUGUUGGUGGGGUAACGGCUCACCAAGGCGACGAUCGGUAGCUGGUCUGAGAGGACGAUCAGCCACACUGGGACUGAGACACGGCCCAGACUCCUACGGGAGGCAGCAGUGGGGAAUCUUGCGCAAUGGGCGAAAGCCUGACGCAGCGACGCCGCGUGCGGGAAGAAGGCCUUCGGGUUGUAAACCGCUUUCAGGAGGGACGAAGCCACUCGGGUUAAUAGCCCAGAGGGUGACGGUACCUCCAGAAGAAGCCCCGGCUAACUACGUGCCAGCAGCCGCGGUAAUACGUAGGGGGCGAGCGUUGUCCGGAUUUAUUGGGCGUAAAGAGCGCGUAGGCGGCCACGUAAGUCCGACGUGAAAUCUGGAGGCUCAACCUCCAGCGGUCGUUGGAAACUACAUGGGCUAGAGUCCGGAAGAGGAGAGUGGAAUUCCUGGUGUAGCGGUGAAAUGCGCAGAUAUCAGAAGAACACCGAUGGCGAAAGCAGCUCUCUGGGACGGUACUGACGCUGAGCGCGAAAGCGUGGGGAGCGACAGAUAGAUACCCUGGUAGUCAC
rnacentral:rRNA from 1 species